rnacentral:lncRNA from 1 species
GCUGAGGGUGCCUGUUUCAUUCUCGCUGGUACCCCAGCCCCGCCAAUCAGCACUUCAGCAGCAGCCGAAAUGGACAUUUUCGCUCGGU